rnacentral:rRNA from 1 species
GAAAGGCCAAUCAAACCGGGAGAUAGCUGGUUCUCCCCGAAAGCUAUUUAGGUAGCGCCUCGUGAAUUCAUCUCCGGGGGUAGAGCACUGUUUCGGCUAGGGGGCCAUCCCGGCUUACCAACCCGAUGCAAACUGCGAAUACCGGAGAAUGUUAUCACGGGAGACACACGGCGGGUGCUAACGUCCGUCGUGAAGAGGGAAACAACCCAGACCGCCAGCUAAGGUCCCAAAGUCAUGGUUAAGUGGGAAACGAUGUGGGAAGGCCCAGACAGCCAGGAUGUUGGCUUAGAAGCAGCCAUCAUUUAAAGAAAGCGUAAUAGCUCACUGGUCGAGUCGGCCUGCGCGGAAGAUGUAACGGGGCUAAACCAUGCACCGAAGCUGCGGCAGCGACACUGUGUGUUGUUGGGUAGGGGAGCGUUCUGUAAGCCUGUGAAGGUGUGUCGUGAGGCAUGCUGGAGGUAUCAGAAGUGCGAAUGCUGACAUAAGUAACGAUAAAGCGGGUGAAAAGCCCGCUCGCCGGAAGACCAAGGGUUCCUGUCCAACGUUAAUCGGGGCAGGGUGAGUCGACCCCUAAGGCGAGGCCGAAAGGCGUAGUCGAUGGGAAACGGGUUAAUAUUCCCGUACUUGGUGUUACUGCGAAGGGGGGACGGAGAAGGCUAUGUUGGCCGGGCGACGGUUGUCCCGGUUUAAGCGUGUAGGUGUGUGUUCCAGGUAAAUCCGGUUCACUUUAACACUGAGGCGUGACGACGAGGCACUACGGUGCUGAAGCAACAAAUGCCCUGCUUCCAGGAAAAGCCUCUAAGCAUCAGGUAACAUCAAAUCGUACCCCAAACCGACACAGGUGGUCAGGUAGAGAAUACCAAGGCGCUUGAGAGAACUCGGGUGAAGGAACUAGGCAAAAUGGUGCCGUAACUUCGGGAGAAGGCACGCUGACACGUAGGUGAAGUGAUUUACUCAUGGAGCUGAAGUCAGUCGAAGAUACCAGCUGGCUGCAACUGUUUAUUAAAAACACAGCACUGUGCAAACACGAAAGUGGACGUAUACGGUGUGACGCCUGCCCGGUGCCGGAAGGUUAAUUGAUGGGGUCAGCGCAAGCGAAGCUCCUGAUCGAAGCCCCGGUAAACGGCGGCCGUAACUAUAACGGUCCUAAGGUAGCGAAAUUCCUUGUCGGGUAAGUUCCGACCUGCACGAAUGGCGUAAUGAUGGCCAGGCUGUCUCCACCCGAGACUCAGUGAAAUUGAACUCGCUGUGAAGAUGCAGUGUACCCGCGGCAAGACGGAAAGACCCCGUGAACCUUUACUAUAGCUUGACACUGAACAUUGAGCCUUGAUGUGUAGGAUAGGUGGGAGGCUUUGAAGUGUGGACGCCAGUCUGCAUGGAGCCGACCUUGAAAUACCACCCUUUAAUGUUUGAUGUUCUAACGUGGACCCGUUACCCGGGUUGCGGACAGUGUCUGGUGGGUAGUUUGACUGGGGCGGUCUCCUCC